rnacentral:rRNA from 1 species
AGUGAACGCUGGCGGUAGGCCUAACACAUGCAAGUCGAACGGCAGCACAGUAAGAGCUUGCUCUUACGGGUGGCGAGUGGCGGACGGGUGAGGAAUACAUCGGAAUCUACUUUUUCGUGGGGGAUAACGUAGGGAAACUUACGCUAAUACCGCAUACGACCUACGGGUGAAAGCAGGGGAUCUUCGGACCUUGCGCGAUUGAAUGAGCCGAUGUCGGAUUAGCUAGUUGGCGGGGUAAAGGCCCACCAAGGCGACGAUCCGUAGCUGGUCUGAGAGGAUGAUCAGCCACACUGGAACUGAGACACGGUCCAGACUCCUACGGGAGGCAGCAGUGGGGAAUAUUGGACAAUGGGCGCAAGCCUGAUCCAGCCAUAACGCGGGGGUGAAGAAGGCCUUCGGGUUGUAAAGCCCUUUUGUUGGGAAAGAAAAGCAGCAGGUUAAUACCCCGCUGUUCUGACGGUACCCAAAGAAUAAGCACCGGCUAACUUCGU